UGGGGAAUAUUGGGCAAUGGACGCAAGUCUGACCCAGCAACGCCGCGUGAAGGAAGAAGGCUUUCGGGUUGUAAACUUCUUUUGUCAGGGAAGAGUAGAAGACGGUACCUGACGAAUAAGCCACGGCUAACUACGUGCCAGCAGCCGCGGUAAUACGUAGGUGGCAAGCGUUGUCCGGAUUUACUGGGUGUAAAGGGCGUGCAGCCGGGCCGGCAAGUCAGGUGUGAAAUCUGGAGGCUUAACCUCCAAACUGCAUUUGAAACUGUAGGUCUUGAGUACCGGAGAGGUUAUCGGAAUUCCUUGUGUAGCGGUGAAAUGCGUAGAUAUAAGGAAGAACACCAGUGGCGAAGGCGGAUGACUGGACGGCAACUGACGGUGAGGCGCGAAAGCGUGGGGAGCAAACAGGAUUAGAUACCC
rnacentral:rRNA from 1 species